rnacentral:rRNA from 1 species
GGUUCGAUUCUGGCUCAGAUUGAACGCUGGCGGGAUGCUUUACACAUGCAAGUCGAACGGCAGCACGGACUUCGGUCUGGUGGCGGAAAUUAGCGAACGGGUGAGUAAUGUCGGAGACAUUGAUGCCCUAGUAGCGGGGGAUAACUACGCGAAAAGCGUAGCUAAUACCGCAUACGCCCUUCAGGGGAAAGCGGGGGGACCUUCGGGCCUCGCACUAUUAGAGCGGCCGAUAUCGGAUUAGCUAGUUGGUGGAGUAACGGCUCACCAAGGCGACGAUCCGUAGCUAGUUUGAAGGACGACCAGCCAUACACCUGGACUGAGACACGGCCGAACUCCUACAGGAGAGGCAGCAGUGGGGAAUUUUGGACAAUGGGGGAAACCCUGAUCCAGCCAUCCCGCGUGUGCGAUGCGUGACCUUCGGGUUGUAAAGCACUUUUGGCGGGAAAACUGGCACGGGAUAAUACCCCGUGCAGCUGACUGACACCUGCAGAAUAAGCACCGGCUAACUACGUGCCAGCAGCCGCGGUAAUACGUAGGGUGCAGCGUUAAUGGAAUUACUGGGUAAAGCGUGCGCGAGCGGUUCGGAAGAAAAGAUGUGAAAUCCCAGAGCUUAACUUUGGAACUGCAUUUUUAACUACGAGCUAGAGUGUGUCAGAAGUGGAAUUCCGCGUGUAGCAGUGAAAUGCGUAGAUAUGCGGAGGAACACCGAUGGCGAAGCAGCCUCCUGGGAUAACACUGACGCUCAUGCACGAAAGCGUGGGAGCAAACAGGAUUAGACUACCCUGGUAGUCCACCUAAACGAUGUCAACUAGCUGUUGGGGCCUUCGGGCGCUGGCUAGCGCAGCUAACGCGUGGUGAAGCCGCCACAAGGGAUACGGUCAUAAGAUUAAAACUCAAAGGAAUUGACGGGGACCCGCACAAGCGGUGGAUGAUGUGGAUUAAUUCGAUGCAACGCAAGCCUUACCUACCCUUGACAUGUCUGGAAUCCCGAAGAGAUUUGAGUGCUCGCAGAGAACCGGAACACAGGUGCUGCAUGGCUGUCGUCAGCUCGUGUCGUGAGAUGUUGGGUUAAGUCCCGCAACGAGCGCAACCCUUGUCAUUAGUUGCUACGAAGGGCACUCUAAUGAGACUGCCGGUGACAAACCGGAGGAAGGUGGGGAUGACGUCAAGUCCUCAUCUGGCCCUUAUGGGUGAGGGCUUCACACGUCAUACAAUGGUGAGACCAGAGGGUCGCCAACCCGCGAGGGGGAGCCAAUCCCGAAACCCGAUCACGUAGUCGGAUCGCAGUCUGCAACUCGACUGCGUGAAGUCGAGUCGCUGGUAAUCGCGGAUCAGCAUGUCGCGGUGAAUACGUUCCCGGGUCUUGUACACACCGCCCGUCACACCAUGGAGUGGGUUUACCAGAAGUAGUUAGCCUAACCGUAAGGAGGCGAUUACCACGGUAGGAUUCAUGACUGGGGUGAAGUCGUAACAAAGGCCAG